rnacentral:tRNA from 1 species
CACUAAGAAGCUAAAAAAUAGGGAAAUAGCGUUAGCCUUUUAAGCUAAAGACUGGUGGCUCCCGACCACCCCUAGUGA